UCCCAGACUCCUACGGGAGGCAGCAGUGGGGGAUAUUGCACAAUGGGCGAAAGCCUGAUGCAGCAACGCCGCGUGAAGGAAGAAGGGUUUCGGCUCGUAAACUUCUAUCAACAGGGACGAAAGAAAUGACGGUACCUGAAUAAGAAGCCCCGGCUAACUACGUGCCAGCAGCCGCGGUAAUACGUAGGGGGCAAGCGUUAUCCGGAAUUACUGGGUGUAAAGGGAGAGUAGGCGGCAAGGUAAGCGAUAUGUGAAAGCCUUAGGCUUAACCUGAGGAUUGCAUAACGAACUAUCUAGCUAGAGUACAGGAGAGGAAAGCGGAAUUCCUAGUGUAGCGGUGAAAUGCGUAGAUAUUAGGAAGAACACCAGUGGCGAAGGCGGCUUUCUGGACUGAAACUGACGCUGAGGCUCGAAAGCGUGGGGAGCGAACAGGAUUAGAUACCCUUGUAAC
rnacentral:rRNA from 1 species